ensembl:lncRNA novel transcript, antisense to NDUFS7
GCCACAGGCAGGGGAGGCUUUAAACGGGUACCGAGAAGGAUCUACUGCCUUCACACGCGCUCCUUUUAACUUAAAACACUGCUUUCACCUUAAAAGAGAAACAAGAGGAACACACGGACGCCAGAAAGAGAAUGACGGAAACGGAGGGGUCAUCUCCAGCAGGGUCCGAAUCCUCAGAUGGAACCACAGGCCACCAGGCCAGCACAGGGGCCUCCGGGAGGGUCCGCCCUGCUCCACGGCCGCAGGGGUGUGUGUGCAUCAGUGAGUGUGCCUGUGUGCAUGCAUGCCAACAGGCACACAUGCAUGUGUCCACACAAGGACGUGUGUGCAUGUGUGUGAGUGUGCAUGUGUGUGCAUGACUGUGCAUAUAUGUGCACGUGUGUGCGAGUGUGCGUGUGCAUGUGUAUAUGUGCGCAUGAGUGUGCAUGAGUGCAAGUGUGCAUGUGUGUAUGUGUGCAAGCGUGUGUGCACAUGUGCUUGUGUGUGCAUGUGUGUGCAAGUGUGCAUGUGUGCGAGUGUGCAUAUGUGCAUUGUGUGCGUGAGUGUGCGUGUGGUCCGUGUACACAUCUGUCCAUACAUGUGAGCUUGCAUGCACAUGUGCGCAUGUGAGUGUGCAUGCAUGUGUUGUGUGUGUACGUGUCUGCACGUUGGUGUGUGUAUGUGUGUGCCUGUGAGUGUGCAGAGAGGCCCUGGCGCUCGAGGAGGGCCUACAGCUCAUAGUACUCACCCGGCGGGCCCAGUUGACGAGGUCAUCCAGCUUGGCCACCACAUACUCGCCCCGGCUGCUGGGUUUGGGAGCCACGGCUCUGGCCUUUGGCAGGGCAGGCUGGGUGCUGGCACAGAGACACACGGGCACAGGAGGCGUCAGCCACGCAGGUGCUUCCCAGAGGCGGAUGCGAGCCCCCACGGCCGCUGCCAGAGGCCUGGACCCACAUGAGCAGGUCAACAGUGUCCAAGCAAGGACGGUCCCAGGAUCAUCCACAGAAGGAAACUGGCAGCAGGCCCUCCACACAUGACCAAGGAAUCUGCAGUCCGCUAAGCGGGGAGGGCGCUGCCCACGUCAAUCUACACAGAAAAGCACCCCUAGAGGAGCCAGCCUCAAAGGAAGCGCAGAGGAGGGAACGCGCCUGCACGAAGUCUCCUGGGAGAGCCUUCCCGAGGCGAAGACUAAGGCCAGAGCAGGGCCUUGCCACGCCCGGGGCACUCAGCGGGAGGAAACCUGGAGGUGCCAGGAAUCCUGGCUCACAAGGAAGAAUCCAGAAAGGCAGGCUUGGUGCUGGUGACGGCUGAACUGUGACCCUCCACCCGACCUGCAUCUGAAGCCCUAACCCCAGGACCUCAGAAUGUGACUGCUUUUGGAGAUGGGGUCUUUAAAGGGAUCAUUAAUGCCUGGGCGUGGUGGCUCAUGCCUGUAAUUCCAGCACUUCAGGAGGCCGAGGCAGGUGGAUCACCUGAGGUCAGGAGUUCGAGACCAGCCUGGGCAACAUGGUGAAACCCCGUCUCUACUAAAAAUACAAAAAUUAGCUGGGUGUAGUAGCAGGUACCUGUAAUCCCAGCUACUCGAGAGGCUGAGGCAGGAGAAUCACUUGAACCCGGGAGGUAGAGGUUGCAGUGAGCAGAGGCUGCGCCACUGCACUCCAGCUUGGGUGACAGAGGGAGACUCCAUCUCAAAAAAUAAAAUAAAGGGUCAUUAUAAAGGACAGUGAGGUCACGAGGGUGGGCCCUCAUCCGAUAUGACUUAUGUCCUUGUAAGAAAAGGCGAUCAGGACACAAACAUGUACAGAGGAAAGACGCAGGGAGAAGAUGGCCACGGGCAAGCCAAGGACAGAGGCCUCAGCAGGAACCAACCCUGCUGACCCCCAAUCUUGGCCUUCCAGCCCCCAGAACUGUGAGAACAAUCAGCUUCUGUUGAAGCUGCCCAGGUGAUGGUACUUUGUCGCUGUGGGUGAGGUGAGGCCCGAUGGAGAGGCUGUGGGCAGCCUCCAGGGGCCAGGGCCAGGGUUUGAUGCCCCUGAAUGCAGCGAUCCAUGGGGCCUUCUCCUGCCUCUGAGCCCCUCCCUCACCCCAGCCUUAGCCUCAUCCGGGGUUGCUGUUUCCCAUGGCCCCGUCCAGGCCACAACUCUCUGAAGGACACAAGCCUGUGACCUACUUCUUGGCAUGCCUGAGGCUGGGCACAGCAGACAGGCUAACUGCCCAGCCCCAGGCUCUGGUGGGAGCUGCCCCACUCCAGGUGUCAGUUUCCCAAGCUGAAAAUGCAGGACUUUGGAUGAGCUCCUAGCAGAGGAGAUACUCUUCUGAGAACCUCUGAGGUGAUGGGAUUCUGUGCCUCUGGGUCAGGGUUUUUGUUGUUGUUGUUGUUGUUUUGAGACGGAGUUUCGCUCUUGUCACCCAGGCUGGAGUGCAACGGCACAAUCUUGGCUCACUGCAACCUCCACCUCCCAGGUUCAAGCUAUUCUCCUGCCUCAGCCUCCCGAGUAGCUGGGAUUACAGGCGCCUGCUACCACGCUCAGCUAAUUUUGCAUUUUUUAGUAGAGACAGGGUUUCUCCAUGUUGAUCAGGCUGGUCUUGAACUCCCGAACUCAGGGGAUCCGCCCACCUCGGCCUCCCAAAGUGCUGGGAUUACAGGCCUGAGCCACCACGCCCAGCUGGUUUGUUUUUGUUUUUGUUUUUGAGACGGAGUUUCACUCUUGUUGCCCAGGAUGGAGUGCAAU